rnacentral:rRNA from 1 species
GAUGAACGCUGGCGGCGUGCUUAACACAUGCAAGUCGAACGGGAAACAUUUUAUUGAAGCUUCGGCAGAUUUAGCUUGUUUCUAGUGGCGGACGGGUGAGUAACGCGUGGGUAACCUGCCUUAUACUGGGGGAUAACAGCCAGAAAUGACUGCUAAUACCGCAUAAGCGCACAGAACCGCAUGGUUCGGUGUGAAAAACUCCGGUGGUAUAAGAUGGACCCGCGUUGGAUUAGCUAGUUGGCAGGGCAGCGGCCUACCAAGGCGACGAUCCAUAGCCGGCCUGAGAGGGUGAACGGCCACAUUGGGACUGAGACACGGCCCAGACUCCUACGGGAGGCAGCAGUGGGGAAUAUUGCACAAUGGGGGAAACCCUGAUGCAGCGACGCCGCGUGAAGGAAGAAGUAUCUCGGUAUGUAAACUUCUAUCAGCAGGGAAGAUAAUGACGGUACCUGACUAAGAAGCCCCGGCUAACUACGUG